GCCACCUAGGCAUCCCCCAAAAUAAGAUCUUUAUAAAAAGAAAAACCAACUAACAUUUUAAAAAUAGUAAUAUAUACACAUCCUGUCUUCUUCCAUCCUAUCCACCCCACCUGACACUGAGCAGUGCCUUACAAAGUGUGUUCUCCAGUCAUCUCACAGGAUUAUGCUGUGAAGAAGGUGCACAAGGAAGAACCAACCUGGGCCAAAAUGAAAUGAGAAGCCUCACGUCCCAGGCACCAAGUACUUGUUUACUGGCUCUCCUGCAACAUUUUCCUUCAUCGUUUUUAGAAAAGGGAAGGGGGACUUUUCUGGGGCCAGUAGCUCAGACAAGAUCCUGAACACACUUCCAUCAGUGGAAGAGAGAGGAAAGCAACAGGCUUUCCAGCUAUGGCUUGGCCCCUCUGCGGUUCCCAUGGCAUCAAUCCGGGCUCCUGGCCCAAGACCGGCAGCCUCAGGCAGGAGGAGAUCGGGAGCGGAUGGGAGAGCUGGUCAGCUUUUAUUUAUUUGAGAGAGAAUGAGAGAUAGA